rnacentral:sRNA from 1 species
AGUUGUUGACUUGUUGCUAACAGAGGACUGCAAGAUUGUUUACCUUUUUACCGCCAACAUCGAAGCCAAACGUUUUUCAUUUUACUCUUGUCAAUGUGAGAACAAUGUUGAUGAUUUAAUCAAUCUAAUAGUUUGGACAUCUUACAGGAGAUUCAAUGUCUUCUCCUGCUGAGCUCAAAGAAACACGAAGCAUGGGCGUCUCCAGUACAAAACGCAACAUAGAGGAAGAACCAGAGAACCCGAAAGAAGAGCCACCACAAAAAAAAUCAAAAUUCUCUUCAGGCGCCGAGGGGGAGCCGUGCUGCUCCAAUGAAUCUUUAGACCAG